rnacentral:lncRNA from 1 species
UACACCAUUCACAUCACAGGUUCACAUUUAUAUGUUCGACAUUUAAACAUAAAUCCACAUCUAUCAGUUAAAAUGUUUCCAACCACAGAAAUAGGUUUUGAAAUACUAAGAUGCAAAAUCCACAGAAAAUCUUUUGAAAACUGUUUCCUACACGGAAACCUUUAUUCUUUAAAAACGCUACCACGAGGGGUAGAAAACCUUUUAUUUCACAAAAUCCAUUUAUUACAUUCACGAAAAUCCAUAUUUUCAAAUGUAAUAAAAAUACUGAACCAUAUAACUAUCUAAGCUAUAACAACUGAAAUAAUAAGGGUAAUAACUAUACCGAAAUAACCUGGGUCGGAAGCUCUAUCGACCGCUACACACGUACCUCACGUCUCGUCCCACUACUCAUCACCCGCGAUACCUGAAAAAUGGUGGGGGAGGUGAGAACAUGUAAACAUGUCUCCCCUCCCAGUGGGUACCGCAAGCCGAAGAAGGCGAGGAGUACUCACCGGAUCAGGAAGAGAUAACCAACAGUAUGGGUAAGUAAAAUACAGUAGCAACGAUAAUGAACGAACGAGAUAUAUAUAUAUGAAAAUACAACUACCGCUACUGUAAUGUACAACUGCAAGCAUACAAGGAUAUCAAAACUAUAGUAGCAAGACAACUGUAAAGAAAGAACUAGAAGUAUAUAUGCAACAACCGCUACUAUAGCUAUAUGCGUCAACCGGACGAGAAGUCCAAAAGUACCCAAUCUAAACCGCCGUGUCGGUCUAAGGACCUCAGGCAAAAGCCACUAUCUGCUCACACCUGGCAUGUAACCCUAGCACAAAGAGAACACCGCUGGGCUCACGGGUCGGAUGUACGACCACUUUUCCGGAAAAGAACACCCUCCUGCGGGGGAUCAACCCGCUGGUGUACGUGAAAUGCACUCGAGCUGUGGCGAUCAAUGCAGAUAUGAUCAAUAGCCAACCGUCGGCAAUCAGCCGACAAUCACCGCCCCUCGGGGCUAACCGACCGUGUAGGUCAUCAAGUAACAACGUGAACCGACCAAGAUGGGUCAAUAUACAGAAGUAACGAACGACCAAACAGGUCACCGAUGCAAACAGGAGAACCGACCAACCAGGUCACAAGUAUAGUAUAUACGAAUGCCAUCUACUCUACCCCUAUACAGGAUACUACACAUAGAACAACCAGGCAGAGUAAAUAAAGAUAGUAUGUGGACACUGCUCGAUGUCAACUAAAAGUACGAACGCAAGAACCGACCGAUAGGUCACAGGAGUGUAUUCGAUAUAGUCCAGAACAACCGUCAGCACCAGCCGACAAUCCUACCCCUCAGGGUAUACCGACCUCAAAGGUCAUCGAACGACAGAAGUCAAGAACCAGACCAACCCAAUACAUAAAGCAACAACCGACCAACCAUGUCAACAGAUAUAAGAUAAAAGCACUGAUCAACUAGGUCACCAAAACAAAGUACGAGAACCGACCAAUCAGGUCACCGAAAUAAAGUACGAGAACCGACCAAUCAGGUCACCGAAACAAAGUACAAGAACCGACCAAUCAGGUCACCGGUAUCACAUAUGGAUAAACUACUCUACUCCUACACAUGAUACUAAGCAUAGAAACAUAUGAGUAGAGUAUAAUAGAAACAACGGGGAUGCAAGCUCAAUGCGAUAGUAACAAUAGAAGAGUAAGGGUAAGAAACCAUAACCAAGCGUGUACCACUGUACCGACGUCGGAUCGAAGUACCCACCUAUACAAGUCUGGAUCAGAUCUCACGACGGCGGGGAACAGAGCAACCGGACCUACGAAGAGUCCACAAGAUCAGAAGGAAACCCUAAUGUCAGCAACUAAUAUAAAAUCCCCAGACAAGGAACCACGGGAAUCGGUUUCCCAAGACCGAUUGCCGAAUCACAUCGGGUGUCCCGAAUAUCGCACCGGGGCUUCGCCGGGGUCCACUAAUUGUCCCGGAACUCCCCAACUCCAACUGGGAGUCAACCGCUGCCACUAAUACUCUAUAAUAACCCACAUUGGCAGCAAACACCACACUUCGCCUCGGAACAGACAUCGUUGACUAAACGUCUCGAACCGGGUUCCCGAAAGUGUCGUUUUUGACACCGGGACCCACCAGUCGCUCACCCGUCGUUUCCGAACCCCCGAAACGACACGGGUGACCUGCCAAGAAGGCUUAGCGACAUCACAACAGAUCCCGAGGCACCGUCGGAUAAAAACCGAACUAAGAUCGCGUUCCGUCGACGAAUUUCGCCGUGAAACGCCCCAAACAAGGCUUUUCGAUCUCCGCAGUGGCUUGGGGCCUUGGACGAUUAGUCCAGAGGUUACCCUCAGCGUUUACACGCUGUCCACAGCGACCGAGUCGAAGUUAUAAGCAAGAAAGCACAACAUGAACCCUAAAAUCUAUCAUUUUAUGCGAUUUUCGACAGUUUUUAAGGCCCGAUCUUGCGAUACGAGGUUCGCUGGGUCAACCGUCGCACCCGCUGAUAGAUUUCAGCGUGCCGGAGACCGUGCUCACCAUUCGGAGCACAAUCGGCGACUGCGGUGCGCGCACAAGCGACGCGAAGGUCAGCGAAGCAGCGCGCACCGCAGGAAGAUCGCGGUUGCCCGAGCAACCAAGGCAUCUCAGGGCUCGACGGAAGUGAGCACGAUGUUCAGCACGACCUAAGGAUCAUCGUGCUCACUUCCCGAGGUCAAAAAGACCAUUCGAAUAGCCGAAAAAGUCACCGGAAAGUGGGAAAACAGUGCUGGAAUGCAUAAAUGGACACUCACAGUGAGGGGGGAGCUAGGGUUGGCCGCCGGCGGUAUUCCGGCAGGCGGUCCGGCCGGGGAGGGGUGCACCAGGUGGCGGGGCUCCGGGGCACUCCACGUCAGGCGGCGCAGGGCGGCCGGAGGUGCGGCGGCGGCGUACGGAGCCGCCAACUCCCUUGCGGUUUGCUGUUUUCCAACAGCUGCCGGCGGCGACGCGGCGGCCGGGGCUGGUCGGGGCCGGUCGGGGAUGAUGCCAGGGGUCGAGGCGGUGGCCGAGCUUGCGUCGGCGGGUGGCAGCGAUGCCCGGGCGUGAAGGUGGCCCGCGUUCGGCCCCUACAGCACACAGGCGGCGGCAGUGGGCUCCUGCGGCGGCCGGCGGCCCUCGAGGGUGGCCGGGGUCGGGCGCGGUGGUCGCCGGACGGUCGGCGGAGACCUCCGCGGCCGUCGGGAAACGGCGGCAGGGCUCACACACCCGAGCCACCCAGCUUCGGCCUGGGUGGUGUCCCUGGGGCCGCAGGCGGCUACGGCGGCUCCGGCGGCGCACGGCGACGGUGGGGGUCGGCGGUGACGGUGCCGGCGGGGGUGCCUGGGUCGGGGCUCACCUCACCCGAGGCCUGGCCGGCUCAGGAUGGUGCUUGGUACUUCCUCGGCCAAGGUGGAGGGAGAGGGAGGAAGGUUGGAGCUUGGGGAAGUCUUUUCCGGCGACGGCGGCGGCUGCCGGCCGCCGGGGUGCAAGCACGGCGUGGGCAGGGGGCCUCCUAGGCGGCUGGUGCACAGGGAGGGCUAGGGUUAGGGUUAGGGGAUCAAAAACCCUAGGUACACUAUAUAUACAUAAGGUGCAAAUUGCAAGUAAGUCCUCCAAAACUCAAAAUUUCGUAACGAGUCCUCCACAGUGCGUGUAAAACGCGAGGAUACCCCUCCACGUGCGAUCCCACGCAAAACGGUACAUAAAAUGUCGCAUCUUUUGCGAAAUUACCCAUUUUCCAACACCGACCUCUCCUCGAUCAACGUGCGAUCUUCGCAGAUCCGUCCGUCAGAUUUGCGAACGGAUUGCACCAGUGCGAUCAGCACCUCGGAGACAACAAAGCUACGAUUUUGUUUCACCACGAUCGAUCACGGAUUCACGACAAAAUCCAAACUUUCUUUCCAAUAGAAGGAAUAACACAUAAAUACAUAUAAAACAUGUAUUUUCGGAUUUUCUCGAAAUUCGUGCAUCAAACUCAAAAUCCGUCAGCGCCAGUAGUUCCAAAAUAGCUGAACCGGUCGAAACGAGCUAUUGGAUCGCUAUGAACGGAGUCCGGUACGCGUAGAAAGCCAACUCUACUCCGUGGCUUCACCGAAAAAUCGGAGUUACUAUUCACUUAAUUGAAAACUAAUAAUCGCGUAACUUCUCCGUUUUAGCUCAUUUUCGCCUGAAACUUGACGAGUGCUUAUGUAAUUAGAUUACACACAUAAACAUCAUCAACCGAGAGUUUAGUUGCACA